GGCCUUUGACUUCAGCUGUAUCUGAUCCUCCCUGCUGUAUACAGUUGUGCUGAUGCAGGAGCCAAUGCACUAUACUCCAAUUCAGGUCAGAGAGUGAGUUCAUGGAGAGCAGAGUCGAGUAUUAAGAAAACAUAAAGUGGAAAAAAGAAAGCAGAAAAGACCAAUGCAGAGAAGAGGAAAUGAUAAAUUGGGACUUGGUCCCAUUGCCUACUGGAUCAUAAGCUUCUUGACAGCAGGGACUCUAUCCUGGUCAUCUGUGUGCCUCUUGCAGUGUCUUACACAGGGCAUGGAUAUUUAGAAAAUCAAGUAUUAGGAGUUGCUGAUGGAGGCAAUCAAAUGACUUUUGAGGAAGAUGAUACAGAUUUUUAAAAAACAUGAAAGCUACCAGGGUAAACAGCUGAAGAAUGCUUCAUAAGAAGACACGGGAAACAAAAAGAGCUGGAAACUAUGAUUGGUUUUUGUUGUAUAUCAAGGAGAAUUGAGGAGGAUUAAGAUGCAGAGGCAAUGAAGAACAAAGAAGGCUGUAAAGUCACUCAGUAAACCUGCCCAAGUGGUAUGCAGGAGGCUGACCAUGACCCUGGCGCCUCAUAUGGCUCAGGAUUUGGCCAUGAGGGACACAUUGCCCUGUACUUCUCUUGGCGCUAUUGGGAAAGAAGUGUGCACUCUUCUGCUGGGACUCCUAACCUGGCAGUACGGAGCUGGAGCUGCUGGUGGCCAAUUUUGCCACCAUACUGGAAGGACCUGCCCGAGAAUGAAGCCAAGAAGAGGAGAACAGAUCUAAGAGGAGCAGAGCCAGAUUCCUGACUACACUGUUGAACCUUUGGAUACGGUCAUGCCAGAUGCAUUUUCAGACGUCCCAGGUACAACUACAUUCAUUCUUGUGGAAAGACGGAGGUUCUGAGAGUGGGGAGAAGGAGAGAAAGAGAGAACACUGCAGGGGAUGAAGAGUAAUAAUUAAAAAGGGGAGUCAGAGAGCAGAGAGUGAAGGGUGUAGAGGACCAAGACUGUUGCUGUCCUUCAUGGGACCAGCAGAACAUGUCCAGAUGCCACUCUGACAGCUACUUUAGGAACAAUUGGACCGAAAUCAAAGGGUGAUGGAUUAAUAUCCCCAAAUCGCCUCUGUUUUCUUCAUGUUCACAUGAUUGCUGAAAUCAAACUGAAACAAACAAGCCAACAAGAAAACUUCAUUAAACCCAAAUUUGGGGCCCACCCCGUGGCUUAGCGGUUAAGUGCGCGUGCUCUGUUACUGGUGGCCCGGGUUCAGAACCCCGGGCUCGCACCAACGCAUCGCUUCUCCGGCCGUGCUGAGGCCGCGUCCCACAUACAGCAACUAGAAGGAUGUGCAACUAUGACAUACAGCUAUCUACUGGGGCUUUGGGGGAAAAAUAAAUAAAUAAAAUUAUAAAAAAACAAACAA